rnacentral:rRNA from 1 species
GGACUACCCGGGUAUCUAAUCCUGUUUGCUCCCCACGCUUUCGUGUCUCAGCGUCAGUAUCGGUCCAGGUCGCCGCCUUCGCCACUGGUGUUCCUCCCGAUAUCUACGAAUUUCACCUCUACACCGGGAAUUCCGCGACCCUCUCCCGUACUCAAGCUCGCCAGUUUCGUGUGCACUUCCUGGGUUGAGCCCAGGGCUUUCACACCCGACUUAACAAGCCGCCUACACACGCUUUACGCCCAAUGAUUCCGAGCAACGUUUGCACCCUCCGUAUUACCGCGGCUGCUGGCAC